GAUGAACGCUGGCGGCGUGCCUAAUACAUGCGAGUCGAGCGAACAGACGAGGAGCUUGCUCCUCUGACGUUAGCGGCGGACGGGUGAGUAACACGUGGAUAACCUUCCUAUAAGACUGGGAUAACUUCGGGAAACCGGAGCUAAUACCGGAUAAUAUAUUGAACCGCAUGGUUCAAUAGUGAAAGACGGUUUUGCUGUCACUUAUAGAUGGAUCCGCGCCGCAUUAGCUAGUUGGUAAGGUAACGGCUUACCAAGGCAACGAUGCGUAGCCGACCUGAGAGGGUGAUCGGCCACACUGGAACUGAGACACGGUCCAGACUCCUACGGGAGGCAGCAGUAGGGAAUCUUCCGCAAUGGGCGAAAGCCUGACGGAGCAACGCCGCGUGAGUGAUGAAGGUCUUCGGAUCGUAAAACUCUGUUAUUAGGGAAGAACAAAUGUGUAAGUAACUAUGCACGUCUUGACGGUACCUAAUCAGAAAGCCACGGCUAACUACGUG
rnacentral:rRNA from 1 species